rnacentral:sRNA from 4 species
GCGUCAGCGAGAAAGCGUUGCCGCAGGCAACGACCCGAAGGGCGAAGCGCGCAGCGCUGAGUCAUCCUUCCCCCACCACCA